rnacentral:lncRNA from 1 species
AGAUAUCUAGCUAAGACCUGAGGACUCCUUUUGAAUGACUGUGAGUGCUCCUGCCAGGAUAAUGUAACUAGAGGAUCCAGGCUGGGCAGACUCAACCAUGGGAGCCAACACUUCAAGCAAACCGCCAGUGUUUGAUGAAAACGAGGAUGUCAACUUUGACCACUUUGAAAUUUUGCGAGCCAUUGGGAAAGGCAGUUUUGGGAAGGUGAGAAUCAAAAUAUGUAUCACCUCAGGGUAAUGUAGCUCAGGAAGCA